rnacentral:rRNA from 1 species
UACGAAGGGGGCUAGCGUUGUUCGGAUUUACUGGGCGUAAAGCGCACGUAGGCGGAUCGAUCAGUCAGGGGUGAAAUCCCAGAGCUCAACUCUGGAACUGCCUUUGAUACUGUCGAUCUGGAGUAUGGAAGAGGUGAGUGGGAUUCCGAGUGUAGAGGUGAAAUUCGUAGAUAUUGGGAAGAACACCGGUGGCGAAGGCGGCUCACUGGCUCAUUACUGACGCUCAGGCGCGAUAGCGUGGGGAUCAAACAGG